ACAGGUCCGGCGGACGCGUGACAACUGCAUCUCCAAGAGCUUCUCGCCGUGGCAGGAAACGCAAAUGCAACACAUCUCCACCUGCGCGACGUUGUAAAGGGCCGUUGCUUGGCCAACACAGUCCACUUGCAGGGUGGGCUGUUUUUCAACUUGAGGGGGCCGACGAAGAUACCACAACUGCACCUCCGGUGCCUAUUCGCCUUGACAGG